AGCAGCCGCGGUAAUUCCAGCUCCAAUAGCGUAUAUUAAAGUUGUUGCAGUUAAAAAGCUCGUAGUUGAACUUCGGGGUUUACCCAUUGGUCAGGCUUAAUUGUCUGUACUGGUGAGAUAAAUCUCUACCUUCUGAGGAACUUUCAUGUCAUUAAUUUGGUGUAAUUGGAAAUCAGGACUGUUACUUCGAAAAAUUGAGUGUUUAAAGCAGGCUAACGUCUGAAUACAUUAGCAUGGAAUAAUGAAAUAGGACGGACUGAUUCUAUUUCGUUGGUUUCUAGGAUCACCGUAAUGAUUAAUAGGGAUAGUUGGGGGCAUUAGUAUUCAAUUGUCAGAGGUGAAAUUCUUGGAUUUAUUGAAGACUAACUACUGCGAAAGCAUUUGCCAAGGAUGUUUUCAUUAAUCAAGAACGAAAGUUAGGGGAUCGAAGACGAUCAGAUACCGUCGUAG
rnacentral:rRNA from 1 species